GUGGCGAACGGGUGAGUAACACGUGAGCAACCUGCCCUGGACUCUGGGAUAAGCGCUGGAAACGGUGUCUAAUACUGGAUAUGAGCCCCUAUCGCAUGGUGGGGGUUGGAAAGAUUUUUUGGUCUGGGAUGGGCUCGCGGCCUAUCAGCUUGUUGGUGAGGUAAUGGCUCACCAAGGCGUCGACGGGUAGCCGGCCUGAGAGGGUGACCGGCCACACUGGGACUGAGACACGGCCCAGACUCCUACGGGAGGCAGCAGUGGGGAAUAUUGCACAAUGGGCGGAAGCCUGAUGCAGCAACGCCGCGUGAGGGAUGACGGCCUUCGGGUUGUAAACCUCUUUUAGCAGGGAAGAAGCGAAAGUGACGGUACCUGCAGAAAAAGCGCCGGCUAACUACGUGCCAGCAGCCGCGGUAAUACGUAGGGCGCAAGCGUUAUCCGGAAUUAUUGGGCGUAAAGAGCUCGUAGGCGGUUUGUCGCGUCUGCUGUGAAAUCCCGAGGCUCAACCUCGGGCCUGCAGUGGGUACGGGCAGACUAGAGUGCGGUAGGGGAGAUUGGAAUUCCUGGUGUAGCGGUGGAAUGCGCAGAUAUCAGGAGGAACACCGAUGGCGAAGGCAGAUCUCUGGGCCGUAACUGACGCUGAGGAGCGAAAGGGUGGGGAGCAAACAGGCUUAGAUACCCUGGUAGUCCACCCCGUAAACGUUGGGAACUAGUUGUGGGGACCAUUCCACGGUUUCCGUGACGCAGCUAACGCA
rnacentral:rRNA from 1 species